rnacentral:tRNA from 1 species
GCCUUAAUAUUUUAAAUUAAAAUAUUGGUCUUGUAAACCAAAGAUCAUCUUAUGUUAAAGCU